rnacentral:rRNA from 1 species
UACGAAGGGGGCUAGCGUUGUUCGGAAUCACUGGGCGUAAAGCGCACGUAGGCGGAUCGUUAAGUCGGGGGUGAAAUCCCGAGGCUCAACCUCGGAACUGCCUUCGAUACUGAAGAUCUUGAGUUCGGGAGAGGUGAGUGGAACUGCGAGUGUAGAGGUGAAAUUCGUAGAUAUUCGCAAGAACACCAGUGGCGAAGGCGGCUCACUGGCCCGAUACUGACGCUGAGGCACGAAAGCGUGGGGAGCAAACAGG